UUUUUAUGGAGAGUUUGAUCCUGGCUCAGGAUGAACGCUGGCGGCGUGCCUAAUACAUGCAAGUCGAGCGAACAGACGAGGAGCUUGCUCCUCUGACGUUAGCGGCGGACGGGUGAGUAACACGUGGAUAACCUACCUAUAAGACUGGGAUAACUUCGGGAAACCGGAGCUAAUACCGGAUAAUAUAUUGAACCGCAUGGUUCAAUAGUGAAAGACGGUUUUGCUGUCACUUAUAGAUGGAUCCGCGCCGCAUUAGCUAGUUGGUAAGGUAACGGCUUACCAAGGCAACGAUGCGUAGCCGACCUGAGAGGGUGAUCGGCCACACUGGAAC
rnacentral:rRNA from 1 species